GAUACAUACAUUUGAGCGGCGCGGCAACACAGCAACUAUUUCCGACGAUAGAAUCGCGCUACGUUGCAACGAAAAAACCGGCCUCACAUAGCAGACGUAGGCGACCUGAACGGAACGCGGCAUCUAAGUGCGGACGAUUUCGUGUACCGCUCUAUAGCGUUCCUUUAUAUUUCGUCUCUCUCAUCUGGACCGCGAGGUCUCGUACAACAACGACUACCCGACCUGAAAAUGGCGACUGUUUUCUAUUUUUAUUUUAAUUUGUUCGAUGUAGUGUUUUUAUUGUAAAUAACAUGUCAGGUCGGAACAUGGAAGCGAUUGAUCGGGUCAUGUAGAGUAAGGAGAGGCUGAGCGGCAAGUACAUGUGAUAUUCAGCAUUUCAAUUGUGCCAGAACCUACAUUUUAUAUGUAUUUUAUCAAAGAAUUAUCAUAUCCACCCAGCGGCUGCCAUCAUCUUGGCUUGCUGAAGGAAAGCGAAUGCUUCUGCCCCUCUGACCGCUGGCACAAAGCGCAUAAGGAAACCCAACCCGACCAACCGGACCAACCAGCAGGGUCACGUGUCAGGUUACUUCCCCUCUCCAAUCUGUCGAUUCCAGCAAUAUUUGCGGUUUACUAACCCAAACUACAACGUGAUUCAAACCGCCAAAAAUCUGGUAUUGUUAUAUAUUUCAACCAACUCAACUUGUUAAAAUCCUGCCAAUUAAAUAAUUGUGAACAGCUGG